rnacentral:rRNA from 1 species
AUUGAACGCUGGCGGCAGGCCUAACACAUGCAAGUCGAGCGGCAGCGGGAAAGUAGCUUGCUACUUUUGCCGGCGAGCGGCGGACGGGUGAGUAAUGCCUGGGAAAUUGCCCAGUCGAGGGGGAUAACAGUUGGAAACGACUGCUAAUACCGCAUACGCCCUACGGGGGAAAGCAGGGGACCUUCGGGCCUUGCGCGAUCGGAUAUGCCCAGGUGGGAUUAGCUAGUUGGUGAGGUAAUGGCUCACCAAGGCGACGAUCCCUAGCUGGUCUGAGAGGAUGAUCAGCCACACUGGAACUGAGACACGGUCCAGACUCCUACGGGAGGCAGCAGUGGGGAAUAUUGCACAAUGGGGGAAACCCUGAUGCAGCCAUGCCGCGUGUGUGAAGAAGGCCUUCGGGUUGUAAAGCACUUUCAGCGAGGAGGAAAGGUUGAUGCCUAAUACGUAUCAACUGUGACGUUACUCGCAGAAGAAGCACCGGCUAACUCCGUGCCAGCCGCCGCUGUAA